AUGCACCUCCCUGGCUCCACUUAUGUCCCCCACACCUCUGACUGUUGGUCUUUGUGCUCUGUCCUUAGGAACUUCCACUACAUAACCAUCCUCCGAGACCCAGUGUCUCGGUACUUGAGCGAGUGGAGGCAUGUCCAGAGAGGGGCGACGUGGAAGGCGUCCCUGCACGUCUGCGAUGGGAGGCCCCCGACCUCCGAAGAGCUGCCCAGCUGCUACACUGGCGACGACUGGUCCGGCUGCCCCCUCAAAGAGUUCAUGGACUGCCCCUAUAAUCUGGCCAACAACCGCCAGGUGCGCAUGCUCUCCGACCUGACCUUGGUGGGUUGCUACAACCUCUCUGUCAUGCCCGAAAAGCAAAGAAACAAGGUCCUUCUGGAAAGCGCCAAGUCCAACUUGAAACACAUGGCGUUCUUCGGCCUGACAGAGUUCCAGCGCAAGACCCAGUAUCUCUUUGAGAAGACAUUCAACAUGAACUUUAUUUCACCAUUUACCCAAUAUAACACCACCAGGGCCUCUAGUGUAGAGAUCAAUGAGGAAAUCCAGAAGCGUAUUGAGGGACUGAAUUUUCUGGAUAUGGAGCUGUACAGCUAUGCAAAAGACCUCUUUUUGCAAAGGUAUCAGUUCAUGAGGCAGAAAGAGCAUCAGGAGGCCAGGCGCAAGCGCCAGGAGCACCGCAAAUUUCUGAAGGGAAGGUUCCUUCAGACCCAUUUCCAGAGUCAGAGUCAGAGUCAGGGCCAGAGCCAGAAUCCGAGUCAGAACCCCAGUCCAAAUGCCAAUCAGAACCUGACUCAGAAUCUGACUCAGAGUUUGAGUCAGAAUUCGAGCCAGAAGGAGAACCGGGCAAACCAGAAGCAGAGCCCGGGCCAGGAGCAGAGUGACAGCAACAGCAGCAAUGGCACCAAUGACUACAUAGGCAGCGUAGAGAAAUGGCGUUGAGUCGCUUGGAAAGGCUUGUGCACACUGCUCCCAAAGCACCACCAAAAAGAUGGCAUAUCUUAAAAGGCGAAAAUGUCCAAACACGCCCUGCUUCCUUCAUUGUGGAAGCUUUAAAAAGUUGAGCUGUUGCCUUUACAGUUGCCUGUCAAUUAAAUGUUAUACUGUGUGGGGUGAAACAAAUCUCCAUAUGUAACUAAAUUGUCUUUUUUUGGUUGGACUACUUAGGAAAUCCAAAAGCCAAACCAGACUCACCAGAAAUUGCUGUGUAGCUAUUUUAAGAAGUUCUUAAAUUAGGUAUAAAGAUAAAAAGAAAACAUAAAAAUGUGACCAUUUAACUUAUGGCUAAAAAGCCUUUAAAUGACUAACGAUACACUGUUAAAACCCAGUCUUUGAAGGAACCCUUUCUUUUCUAGGGGUAAGCAUGAAAUGACUGACAGAAACGCAAAACCAGUCAUUUUCUUCUGCUCAUAACAAGGAAUCUAUUUAAAUAGAAUAGCAACUGAUGAUAAAUUUUGCCAAACUGUAGAAAAUAAACAAUUCCUCUCCCAAAUAUAGGUAGUUUUAUGUAAAAAAGAUUGGCUUUGCAAGUAGAACAGGACUCAUGCCUUGUAAUUUUAAGAGAUGUUUCAAAUUUUAAACUUUUUCUACCUUCUACCGUGGAAAGGUUUUAAACAGGGUGUAUCUCAUAUUAAACAAAACAUUUUAUUUUCCAAAUGGAAAACCAGCGUAAUGAUCUAACUUCCAGAUGCUUUUGGGGCACUGUAAUUUCAACACUUCUGGAAUCUUUUUGGCGCUGCUUCUCAAAUUCACUUUAAGGCUUUUCCAAGUUGUGCUCAUUCCAAAAGAACCCAUGUGUAGAAUAUUUCUUCGUCAU